rnacentral:rRNA from 1 species
GGGGAAUAUUGCACAAUGGAGGAAACUCUGAUGCAGCGACGCCGCGUGAGCGAUGAAGGCCUUCGGGUCGUAAAGCUCUGUCCUAUGGGACGAUAAUGACGGUACCAUAGGAGGAAGCCCCGGCUAACUACGUGCCAGCAGCCGCGGUAACACGUAGGGGGCGAGCGUUGUCCGGAAUUACUGGGCGUAAAGGGUACGUAGGCGGUCAUGUAAGUCAGAUGUGAAAGGCAUGGGCUUAACCCAUGUAAGCAUUUGAAACUACGUGACUUGAGUUAAGGAGAGGAAAGUGGAAUUCCUGGUGUAGCGGUGAAAUGCGUAGAUAUCAGGAGGAAUACCAGUGGCGAAGGCGACUUUCUGGCCUUAAACUGACGCUGAGGUACGAAAGCGUGGGGAGCAAACA